GGAAGACGUCUGCGAGAGAGACCGACCCAACAAUUCAAACGAUUAUUUUUAUUUUACCACCGAAACGUAGGGUUAAGGCUUCAACUACUAAGGUCAUUAGCCUGUGGUACUGUGGAGGAGGGUACUAACUGUAGAUUUGUUUACACGUGUGUUUGUUUUGGCAGAAUUUUUGAUUUGGGCACCCGUAAGUAUCUGCCAUGCCCGGUCGGGGGAUGGCGGUCUCUCUUUCCAGACAGAAUAUUAUGUCUGCCCGGAGAAAAGUGCCGCCCGUGACCGAGGUUCGAACCAGCGACGGUGCGCAUUGAAACCGACGCCUUAGUCUACUCGGCCACUCCGUCUCCCGACAUUAUAUUUGUAUAACUACCUAACUGCAGUUAUACCUCAAUAUAUUAUUAUUAUGCGAAUGACAUUAAAAAAAAUUAUACGUUUGGCUGAUACUCGUUUUUGUGAAUGGUUUACAAUUUAUAUGAUAUCU